UACAGAGGUCUCAAGCGUUGUUCGGAUUUAUGGGGCGUAAAGGGUGCGUAGGUGGCGCGGUAAGUCGGGUGUGAAAUUUCGGAGCUUAACUCCGAAACUGCAUUCGAUACUGCCGUGCUUGAGGACUGGAGAGGAGACUGGAAUUUACGGUGUAGCAGUGAAAUGCGUAGAGAUCGGAAGGAAGACCAGUGGCGAAGGCGGGUCUCUGGACAGUUCCUGACGCUGAGGCACGAAGGUCAGGGGAGCAAACGGG
rnacentral:rRNA from 1 species